rnacentral:lncRNA from 1 species
AUUAAAUUUAAGUGUUGAAUGCAAAGAAUGAAAAUAAACAUGCAAAAUGCAAAUGAAUCAGUUGGCAAGGAAAAUAUAUGGAUGAAUGGAGUUGUUGGGGUUUACAAUUUCAUCUUAUCCACCCUCUUAUAUCUACUUUUCUUAUUUAAUUUUCUUUAUUACUAUAUUGUCAUGCAAACUUUCUUAGUCUACCCUAAACCCAAUCUCUUGGCGAAAAGAGCUUAUUAUUAAUUACUGACUUACUAUCUCUAGUCUCCCCUAGUAAUUAGCAAUGCAUUAUAAACAGAAGCAAAAUAUAAUUGAUUGUCCUACCCCUAUCUCUAGGCGAUAUUAGCUUAAUCAAGGAAUUUCCU